ACUAGACAAACAGUCUUCUUUACACUAUCUGACUAUACUUCUGCUUUUCAGUUAUUUUGAAAUAGUUGAUAG